AUGAACGCUGGCGGCGUGCCUAAUACAUGCCAGUCGAGCGAACAGACGAGGAGCUUGCUCCUCUGACGUUAGCGGCGGACGGGUGAGUAACACGUGGAUAACCUACCUAUAAGACUGGGAUAACUUCAGGAAACCGGAGCUAAUACCGGAUAAUAUAUUGAACCGCAUGGUUCAAUAGUGAAAGACGGUUUUGCUGUCACUUAUAGAUGGAUCCGCGCCGCAUUAGCUAGUUGGUAAGGUAACGGCUUACCAAGGCAACGAUGCGUAGCCGACCUGAGAGGGUGAUCGGCCACACUGGAACUGAGACACGGUCCAGACUCCUACGGGAGGCAGCAGUAGGGAAUCUUCCGCAAAGGGCGAAAGCCUGACGGAGCAACGCCGCGUGAGUGAUGAAGGUCUUCGGAUCGUAAAACUCUGUUAUUAGGGAAGAACAAAUGUGUAAGUAACUAUGCACGUCUUGACGGUACCUAAUCAGAAAGCCACGGCUAACUACGUG
rnacentral:rRNA from 1 species